rnacentral:rRNA from 1 species
GACGAACGCUGGCGGCGUGCCUAAUACAUGCAAGUCGAGCGGACUUGAUGAGAUGCUUGCAUCUCUGACGGUUAGCGGCGGACGGGUGAGUAACACGUAGGUAACCUGCCCGACAGACCGGGAUAACAUUCGGAAACGAAUGCUAAUACCGGAUACGCGAAUUCCUCGCAUGGGGAAAUCGGGAAAGACGGAGCAAGCUGCCACUGGUGGAUGGACCUGCGGCGCAUUAGCUAGUUGGUGAGGUAACGGCUCACCAAGGCGACGAUGCGUAGCCGACCUGAGAGGGUGAUCGGCCACACUGGGACUGAGACACGGCCCAGACUCCUACGGGAGGCAGCAGUAGGGAAUCUUCCGCAAUGGACGAAAGUCUGACGGAGCAACGCCGCGUGAGUGAUGAAGGUUUUCGGAUCGUAAAGCUCUGUUGCCAGGGAAGACGCUUAGGAGAGUAACUGCUCCUGAGGUGACGGUACCUGAGAAGAAAGCCCCGGCUAACUACGUGCCAGCAGCCGCGGUAAAAC